AUUGAACGCUGGCGGCAGGCCUAACACAUGCAAGUCGAGCGGAUGAAGGGAGCUUGCUCCUGGAUUCAGCGGCGGACGGGUGAGUAAUGCCUAGGAAUCUGCCUGGUAGUGGGGGAUAACGUCCGGAAACGGGCGCUGAUACCGCAUACGUCCUGAGGGAGAAAGUGGGGGAUCUUCGGACCUCACGCUAUCAGAUGAGCCUAGGUCGGAUUAGCUAGUUGGUGGGGUAAAGGCCUACCAAGGCGACGAUCCGUAACUGGUCUGAGAGGAUGAUCAGUCACACGGGAAAUGAGACACGGUCCAGACUCCUCCGGGAGGAAGCAGGGGGGAAUAUUGGACAAGGGGCGAAAGCCUGAUCCAGCCAGGCCGCGUGUGUGAAGAAGGUUUUCGGAUUGUAAAGCACUUUAAGUUGGGAGGAAGGGCAGUAAGUUAAUACCUUGCUGUUGUGACGUUACCAACAGAAUAAGCACCGGCUAACUUCG
rnacentral:rRNA from 1 species